rnacentral:lncRNA from 1 species
UUUUAUUUAAAGUAGUACGUAUAGUCAUAUAUAAUUAUAUAUUGAAUGGUACGUAUAUAUGUGUAAUUGUUUAUAUAUUUUUUUAAAAAUAUAUAUUGUAUAUAUUGGAGUGUAUAUAGUGUAUAUUGGAGUGUAUAUAGUGUAUAUUGGAUUUUUUAUUUAUUUUUUAAACGGGUUUGACCGGUUUUUAAACGGGUUUGACCGGGUUUUGG